rnacentral:rRNA from 1 species
AUUGAACGCUGGCGGCAUGCCUUACACAUGCAAGUCGAACGGCAGCACGGGAGCAAUCCUGGUGGCGAGUGGCGAACGGGUGAGUAAUGUAUCGGAACGUGCCCAGUCGUGGGGGAUAACGCAGCGAAAGCUGUGCUAAUACCGCAUACGAUCUAUGGAUGAAAGCGGGGGAUCGCAAGACCUCGCGCGACUGGAGUGGCCGAUAUCAGAUUAGCUAGUUGGUGGGGUAAAGGCUCACCAAGGCGACGAUCUGUAGCUGGUCUGAGAGGACGACCAGCCACACUGGAACUGAGACACGGUCCAGACUCCUACGGGAGGCAGCAGUGGGGAAUUUUGGACAAUGGGCGCAAGCCUGAUCCAGCAAUACCGCGUGUGUGAAGAAGGCCUUAGGGUUGUAAAGCACUUUCAAUUGGGAGGAAAACCUGUCGGUCAAUACCCGGCAGCUUGACAUUACCUUUAGAAGAAGCACCGGCUAACUCCGUGCCAGAACG